rnacentral:rRNA from 1 species
GAUGAACGCUGGCGGCGUGCCUAAUACAUGCAAGUCGAGCGAACGGACGAGAAGCUUGCUUCUCUGAUGUUAGCGGCGGACGGGUGAGUAACACGUGGAUAACCUACCUAUAAGACUGGGAUAACUUCGGGAAACCGGAGCUAAUACCGGAUAAUAUUUUGAACCGCAUGGUUCAAAAGUGAAAGACGGUCUUGCUGUCACUUAUAGAUGGAUCCGCGCUGCAUUAGCUAGUUGGUAAGGUAACGGCUUACCAAGGCAACGAUGCAUAGCCGACCUGAGAGGGUGAUCGGCCACACUGGAACUGAGACACGGUCCAGACUCCUACGGGAGGCAGCAGUAGGGAAUCUUCCGCAAUGGGCGAAAGCCUGACGGAGCAACGCCGCGUGAGUGAUGAAGGUCUUCGGAUCGUAAAACUCUGUUAUUAGGGAAGAACAUAUGUGUAAGUAACUGUGCACAUCUUGACGGUACCUAAUCAGAAAGCCACGGCUAACUACGUGCCAGCAGCCGCGGUAAUACGUAGGUGGCAAGCGUUAUCCGGAAUUAUUGGGCGUAAAGCGCGCGUAGGCGGUUCUUUAAGUCUGAUGUGAAAGCCCACGGCUCAACCGUGGAGGGUCAUUGGAAACUGGAAAACUUGAGUGCAGAAGAGGAAAGUGGAAUUCCAUGUGUAGCGGUGAAAUGCGCAGAGAUAUGGAGGAACACCAGUGGCGAAGGCGACUUUCUGGUCUGUAACUGACGCUGAUGUGCGAAAGCGUGGGGAUCAAACAGGAUUAGAUACCCUGGUAGUCCACGCCGUAAACGAUGAGUGCUAAGUGUUAGGGGGUUUCCGCCCCUUAGUGCUGCAGCUAACGCAUUAAGCACUCCGCCUGGGGAGUACGACCGCAAGGUUGAAACUCAAAGGAAUUGACGGGGACCCGCACAAGCGGUGGAGCAUGUGGUUUAAUUCGAAGCAACGCGAAGAACCUUACCAAAUCUUGACAUCCUUUGACAACUCUAGAGAUAGAGCUUUCCCCUUCGGGGGACAAAGUGACAGGUGGUGCGUGGUUGUCGUCAGCUCGUGUCGUGAGAUGUUGGGUUAAGUCCCGCAACGAGCGCAACCCUUAAGCUUAGUUGCCAUCAUUAAGUUGGGCACUCUAAGUUGACUGCCGGUGACAAACCGGAGGAAGGUGGGGAUGACGUCAAAUCAUCAUGCCCCUUAUGAUUUGGGCUACACACGUGCUACAAUGGACAAUACAAAGGGCAGCGAAACCGCGAGGUCAAGCAAAUCCCAUAAAGUUGUUCUCAGUUCGGAUUGUAGUCUGCAACUCGACUACAUGAAGCUGGAAUCGCUAGUAAUCGUAGAUCAGCAUGCUACGGUGAAUACGUUCCCGGGUCU